GGCGGCGUGCUUAACACAUGCAAGUCGAACGAUGAAGCCCUUCGGGGUGGAUUAGUGGCGAACGGGUGAGUAACACGUGGGCAAUCUGCCCUUCACUCUGGGACAAGCCCUGGAAACGGGGUCUAAUACCGGAUAUGACCGUCUUGGGCAUCCUUGACGGUGUAAAGCUCCGGCGGUGAAGGAUGAGCCCGCGGCCUAUCAGCUUGUUGGUGAGGUAAUGGCUCACCAAGGCGACGACGGGUAGCCGGCCUGAGAGGGCGACCGGCCACACUGGGACUGAGACACGGCCCAGACUCCUACGGGAGGCAGCAGUGGGGAAUAUUGCACAAUGGGCGAAAGCCUGAUGCAGCGACGCCGCGUGAGGGAUGACGGCCUUCGGGUUGUAAACCUCUUUCAGCAGGGAAGAAGCGCAAGUGACGGUACCUGCAGAAGAAGCGCCGGCUAACUACGUGCCAGCAGCCGCGGUAAUACGUAGGGCGCAAGCGUUGUCCGGAAUUAUUGGGCGUAAAGAGCUCGUAGGCGGCUUGUCACGUCGGGUGUGAAAGCCCGGGGCUUAACCCCGGGUCUGCAUUCGAUACGGGCUAGCUAGAGUGUGGUAGGGGAGAUCGGAAUUCCUGGUGUAGCGGUGAAAUGCGCAGAUAUCAGGAGGAACACCGGUGGCGAAGGCGGAUCUCUGGGCCAUUACUGACGCUGAGGAGCGAAAGCGUGGGGAGCGAACAGGAUUAGAUACCCUGGUAGUCCACGCCGUAAACGGUGGGAACUAGGUGUUGGCGACAUUCCACGUCGUCGGUGCCGCAGCUAACGCAUUAAGUUCCCCGCCUGGGGAGUACGGCCGC
rnacentral:rRNA from 2 species